GCCGUGAGGUGUUGCCUUAAGUGGCGCAACGAGCGCAACCCCUGUCCUAUGUUGCCAGCGAGUAAUGUCGGGGACUCAUGGGAGACUGCCGGUGCCAAACCGGAGGAAGGUGGGGAUGACGUCAAGUCAUCAUGGCCCUUAUGUCCUGGGCUGCACACAUGCUACAAUGCGCGGUACAGAGGGUUGCAAUCCUGCAAGGGGGAGCGAAUCCCAAAAAACCGCGCUCAGUUCGGAUCGGGGUCUGCAACUCGACCCCGUGAAGUCGGAGUCGCUAGUAAUCGCAGAUCAGCAACGCUGCGGUGAAUACGUUCCCGGGCCUUGUACACACCGCCCGUCACACCACGAAAGUCGGUAACACCCGAAGCCGGUGGCCCAACCCUUGUGGAGGGAGCCGUCGAAGGUGGGAUCGGCGAUUGGGGUGAAGUCGUAACAAGGUAGCCGUACCGGAAGGUGCGGCUGGAUCACCUCCUUUCUAAGGAGACAUUGGCAGCGAUGGCCGCGAGGUCAUCCCGUCGAGCAGCGGUGUUCGACGGGCUCGCGACCGGAGUCAAAAGUCAAACCACUGGCUAUUUGGCAGACGAGCUCUUCACAGUUCACGUCAGUACGUCCUCGAGCUCACGAGCACGAGGGAGUGGAACGCGAACACUGGAGGGGCGGAUCUGCCAGGCACACUGUUCGGUCCUGAGGGUGCGAGCCCUCGGUCGCGAACCACCGGGCCUCUCGUCUAGGCGAGGGGCUCGUGUUCGCGGACGGACCUUGAGAACUCGAUAGCGAGCGCGAGCAUCUACAAGUCAAGUUACUAAGGGCUUACGGUGGAUGCCUUGGCGCCAGGAGCCGAUGAAGGACGCGUGAGGCUGCGAAAAGCUUCGGGGAGCCGCCAACAAGGCUUUGAUCCGAAGGUGU
rnacentral:sRNA from 1 species